ensembl:snRNA U1 U1 spliceosomal RNA
AUACUUACCUGGCAGGGGAUAGACCAUUAUCCCGAAGGUGGUUUUCCCAGGGUCAGACCUAUCCAUUGUACUCCGGAUGUGCUGACCCCUGCGAAAUCCCGAAUUGUGGGAAACUCGACUGCAUCAUUUGUGGUCGUGGGAGACUGCAUUAGUGCUUUCACCUA